AGGCUGUUGGAUCGUGCACCGGGGAAUGAGACGAGGUGAGCUGGUUGCUGCUUUGAAAAAGAAGCACGUGGCCAUCCCUAUGAUAUUGGACUCAAGGUUCGAGAUUGAGAUGUCGCCAUCCCCUGCAGUGGGUGGCAAGUACAAGAAAAAAGAAGACGGAGGACAAGACGUCCACUGUGUCGCUUGUGGAGCAUGCCUGACUGGUUGAAAAGCUGCGGUCGGCAAAGCAGAGGGUGGUCAACCUGGAGCAGGAGCUCCAGAUAGAGAGGAUGCUAUCAAGAAGACUGCAGUAGCAGCUGCUGGCACUACUGGUGGACAAUGUCCCGUCUGGCGGUGUUGGGUCAGCUCCUACAGCUUGCCCAGCAGCAGUCCCUGCAGCUGGUGCUCCUGCUCCAGUUCGCGUUGUGCGAGCUGGUGUAGAUCACACUCAACCCGUACCGGCCGCUGGUGCUGCUGUUCCAGCAGCGGUUCUUGUAGCAGGCCCUCUGGAGGCACCUCCCGAGUGUAUGCCAGUGCUUGCAGAGGUCGAUGAUGAGGCAAGUUCAGAAUUUCAUUGAAUAUUCAUUUCAGAUAUUGGGCAAGUGACUACAUUUUAUGGUUUCCACAGCUCCUUGAAUGAGGUUAUUUGUAUGCUUCCUUAAAUUGAACCAUCGUCCUGCUUCAAAAUGCUGAUGAAUGUAAAGAGUAGAAUCGGGCAUUGAUAAGAUAUUUCUUCCCAAUUAAUUGGCGCUUUUCUGCAACGUCUUCUAUCUAGUGUCCUCGUUUUAUUUCGAGCUUGUUCAUAAAUCGUGUACCACGAGCCCAGAUUAAAAUUCCGUUAUAAUUAGUACCAUUCUUUCGCUCUUUCUCUUUACUCAGAACUCACUUAAACGGACACUUACAACCUCCCCCCCCCCCCCCAAAGUUUCAUUUUUUGCCAGGCGAUUUGUUAUGGUGUCGAAAGACUACAUAAUUAAUAUUUUGCAACAGAAUCACAUAUAUUUUUAUUAAAGCCAGAAAACGUAACUGCUCAGAACCGAAGCAGAAACCUGUGCACGGAGGUCGAAGAAGUGGAGAGGAGAUAGUGAGUGGAAGAGGUCACGUGGCUACACCCGACUGUGAGCUUUUUGUUUUCCCUUUCGUGUCCUUUUCUUUUGU